UAGGGGGGUCGCGAGAUGAUAUUCUUUAAUCUUUGAUGGACCAAUUAUGAUUUGUUUUUGUGUGAAAAUUAUGAGAAUAAAGUCAUAAUAUAAGCUGUGCAAGAAUAAGUAACAUUGCAAAAUAUUCCAAAAAAAGUCAUGUUUUCUUCCCAAGAAGGAAGACGAAAUAUGAGAGUAAAGUUGUACUAUUAUGAGAAUAAUGCCAUAAUAUUACAAGAACAAAGUCACACAGUCAUUUGCAUAAUCGUUUGAAAGUCCUGAUACUAAUAAGAAUUUAACGCUGAUGUGGUAGAAAGAUUUAGUAUUCUCUUAUUUGUAAAAUAAAAACUAAAAUAUACAUUUACAAGAUGCUCAGCGUUCCCUAUUUUAACAAGGGGGAAGACUGCUCUGUUGUAAUAGUUCUCAGAAAAUUAUGCCCAAAGGGGAUACUAGGUACUAGGUUAUUUGAAAUGUUUGGGAACCCCUGCUUUCAUGUCACUUCUCAUACUGCCAUCUACUGGGUAGCCUGUGUAAGUUCACAACUACUUUCAUGAGACCCACACGGCAGUCAGCCAGAAAAGCAGAUGACUUCCUAUAUUGCCAGUCCUUUAGCACAUAUACGGUUAAAAUAUUUGGUAAGAUAGAUUACAAAUUAAUUAACAUUAUAUAUUGUACAUUAUAGUGGUCAUCAUACAUCACUGGCCUAAUUUUCCCUGACAUUUUUACCAAUAUUGGUACUGUACUCUCCUUAAAAAAAUAUUUCAACUACAAUAAGUGUUUAUGCAGUAAAAAAAAUAUGUAUUUUUGUCAGCCUCUAGACCAAAGGGACCAAAAAUCAGUCUCAGAUUUUAAUGGAAGCCAAGAUUGUAGGUGUUAGUGAUGGAGCUGAGGUGACUCGAUAAAUAGUUGAAGGACAUUUGGUCUUGAAGAGCAGGCUAAGCAGAAACUGAAGACGGAGGAAUCUCCAAUACUUCAUGUAAUUUAGAUUUUUUUAGGGGACAAAAAGGCCAGGACUAAAUGUUCUGGCAACAAAUGGAUGCAAAAAAAAAACACAUAUGGGAGGGUGGUUACUAGAGACAUCUUCAUCUUGGCCGAGCCUUUCGGGUAUUCCUUCUUCAGUCACUCUUUGCAUGAACCUCGGUGCAUGGAAAAAACAGACAAUUACACUUUAUGUUAUUUGUUCUUUGUCUUUUUCUCCUGAGAGCAGAUGGUACAAGAACAGAUCCAUGGCUGGAGAUUAUCAUUGCCUUUUUGAUGGGGGGAUUCUUUUUAGUUGUUAUUUCUUUUAUUGCCAUAAAAUGCUACAGACAAAAGCUAAAGAAAUCUGGAAAUUCAGUUGAGACUCUUGAGGUGAUGGCUCCAGAUGAUCCCCAGUUUUGCAGUGGCCAGAAAGCGGACAAGGCAAACUUUGAAGUCCAAGAAGGAGCAGUGGCCCCUGAAUUCAACGGUAGAUCAAAUGAUGUGACGUAUGCCAUCCUUGAUAUUGCCGGGUUGACCAGGGGUCUCGGAGAAGUGGAAAACCAAAAGGACAGCGAGACAGAGUAUGCUGAAGUUUAGACAAAAAAAUAAGAGAGAAGAUGAUACUGGGGAACAUAAGACUGAGGAGGAAAAGGAUGGAAAUCCACAGACUAUACUUUGUUCACAAAUAGCUCAAAAAUAUAGUCAAGAAGACAUGUUUAUUUAGAUUUAUUGUGCCUGUAUGAAAAUAAUGAACAUUUUAACUGCUUGUCUUAUCAUCAAUAUGUGCUUUCAUUUUGUUUCUGGAAAAUUCACCCAUUGGGGUUUCAGACUGCAGUCAAACAGUAUAACUUUUACAUUAUACAGACUAUAUUUGACAUAUAUGUACAGAUAUAACAUCUUUGUUUUGAACAUUAACAUUGCACCUUCAUUGUCUAAAGCCAUCAAAUUUGCAAUGAUUAAAUGGUGUAUCUUUAAUGACUAUAUGGAAACAAAAUAUUUUGUCUCUUUUUAUAACCCAAGCUACUCUUGUUGCCAAGACCAAUCAUUAAAUAAAAUUAAGAAUAUUUCCCACAGUGGGGUCAAACAAAUGAUUUGUAGUUUAUUAAACACAGAAGGGAAAAAAUGUCAUAACUUGGUCUGAAUCAUAAUUAAAUGUGAUGUGUCGUUAUUCCUUUUUGCAUCUUAAAGGAUAUUUAAAAUAGUUUAAUAUAGGGGGUAAAAAUCCUUUAAGAUAAUGUCGUUGUGAUGUUUGCAAUUUAGGAAUUUUCAAAACAAGGUGAUUAAAAUGUGUCAGAAUUCCUGUAAUAAAUACAAGCAUGAUU